GACGGACGCUGGCGGCGUGCUUAACACAUGCAAGUCGAACGGAAAGGCCCUGCUUUUGUGGGGUGCUCGAGUGGCGAACGGGUGAGUAACACGUGAGUAACCUGCCCUUGACUUUGGGAUAACUUCAGGAAACUGGGGCUAAUACCGGAUAGGAGCUCCUGCUGCAUGGUGGGGGUUGGAAAGUUUCGGCGGUUGGGGAUGGACUCGCGGCUUAUCAGCUUGUUGGUAGGGUAGUGGCUUACCAAGGCUUUGACGGGUAGCCGGCCUGAGAGGGUGACCGGCCACAUUGGGACUGAGAUACGGCCCAGACUCCUACGGGAGGCAGCAGUGGGGAAUAUUGCACAAUGGGCGGAAGCCUGAUGCAGCAACGCCGCGUGCGGGAUGACGGCCUUCGGGUUGUAAACCGCUUUCGCCUGUGACGAAGCGUGAGUGACGGUAAUGGGUAAAGAAGCACCGGCUAACUACGUG
rnacentral:rRNA from 1 species